rnacentral:rRNA from 1 species
UACAGAGGAGCCAAGCGUUGUCCGGAUUGACUGGGCGUAAAGCGCACGCAGGCGGGGGUGCGCGUGGGGGGGGAAAUCUGGCCGCUUAACGGCCAGGCGCCAUCCCAUACGGCACGCCUGGAGCCUUGCAGAGGUCGGUGGAAUUGCCGGUGUAGUGGUGAAAUGCGUAGAGAUCGGCAGGAACACCCAGGGGGAAACCAGCCGACUGGGCAAGUGCUGACGCUGAGGUGCGAGAGCGUGGGGAGCGAACCGG